rnacentral:rRNA from 1 species
UGGCGCACGGGUGAGUAACGCGUGGAUAAUCUGCCCUUUAGUCUGGAAUAACUCAUCGAAAGGUGGGCUAAUACCGGAUAAUGCUGUUUUUACUUCGGUUGGACAGCCAAAGGGGGCCUCUAUUUAUAAGCUCUUGCUUAAGGAUGAGUCCGCGUACCAUUAGCUAGUUGGUAGGGUAAUGGCCUACCAAGGCUGCGAUGGUUAGCUGGUCUGAGAGGAUGAUCAGCCACACUGGAACUGAGACACGGUCCAGACUCCUACGGGAGGCAGCAGUGAGGAAUCUUGCGCAAUGGGGGAAACCCUGACGCAGCAACGCCGCGUGAGUGAGGAAGGUCUUCGGAUCGUAAAGCUCUGUCGGGUGGAAAGAAAGGCAGGGGAGCUAAUACCUUUCCUGUUUGACGGUACCACCAGAGGAAGCACCGGCUAACUCCGUGCCAGCAGCCGCGGUAAUACGGGGGGUGCAAGCGUUGUUCGGAAUUAUUGGGCGUAAAGAGCGUGUAGGCGGCUUGAUAAGUCAGAUGUGAAAGCCCUGGGCUUAACCCAGGAAGUGCAUUUGAAACUGUCUCGCUGGAGUAAGGAGGGGGGAAAGUGGAAUUCCUGGGUGUGAGAGGGGUGAAAUUCGUAGGAUUAUCAGGAGGGAACCACCGGUGGCGAAAGGCGACUUCCUGGCCCUAUACUGACGCUGAGACGCGAGAGCGUGGGUAGCAAACAGGAUUAGAUACCCUGGUAGUCCACGCCGUAAACGAUGUCACUAGUGUUGGGGGGGUAUAUGACCCCCCUCAGUGCCGGAGCUAACGGCAUUAAGUGAACCGCCUGGGGGAGUACGGUCGCAAGACUAAACUCAAGGAAUUGACGGGGGCCCGCACAGCGGUGGAGCAUGGUGGUUUAAUUCG